GCUUUGACAGGUGAGGCUGUGGCUUCAGGGUGGAUCUGGUUUGUGAUUUGAAUGUGUGUGCUUUUGUGUCUCCACAGGUUUACUACCCAGAACUCUUGGUCUGGGUCAGCCAGGAGCCAUUUCCAUACAAGGAAAUGGAGGGAGGUCUUACUAAGGGAAGACUUCCUGUGCCUAAGGAAGUGAACCGCAAGAAGAUGGAUGAGCCCAUCGCUGCCUCGCUGAUUCCGCCGGGCAACCAUGAACCCGGCUCCCCAGCUAUCGGUUACCUCCACCCUUUUUAAUCGUCACAC
rnacentral:lncRNA from 1 species